UUAUUCUAAUUUCAUAGAUGGGGUUUCAAACAGGGAUUUAGGAAUAAUCCUUGUCCCAGAUUGAUAAUUAAAGUUGUACCAACGACUCUCAUCAGAUUUACCUGGUUUCUCUCCUCUGUGGCAUCCAGCAGGCCUUUGAUGAUAGAGGGUGUGUCUCAAGUUCUGCAAGGGCGUCACUGUGAAAAUGAAUUAUUGUAAUUUCCAGAAAAAGCUGGUUAAAUAAACUGACUUUUGUCAAAAAAAAAAAUCAUUUUCCUCAUUGUAACAAACAUCUGCCACUCCCAAAAAGAUGCCACCCAAUUUUCAUUAAUGGCACGGAGUUGUGGAAAUUCCUCAUACAUGGCAAGGUAAUUGCCACUUUAGAUUCAAAAUAUGGGCUCAAUAAGAGGAACAGCAAGAGGAGAUGAUUCUUGUGGCUCCGAUACAAAGCAUGCACUAAAAAGGUAAUUUAUAAGAAAGGCAGACUGAAUAAAUUUGAGGAUGAAAUAACAAAUGUUAAAUUAGGCUUUUUAAUUUAAAUGAGGGAAGUGUCAGAGUGACCAAAUACAACUUUGUUUUGUUUCAAAUUUUCUUCUUUUGUGUUAGCAUUUGCUUUAGAAUGGCCAGUUAUUCAUCUUUAUUGGCUUCUGAAAUAAAUAAAUUGAUUUAAAAAGAGAGCUUUAAUAAAAUAUCUCUGUUCCUGAUACAUUUGUGUCUCCAUUUACAAUGUUUUUUUCCACAGGGUCCAAGAGCUAAAGAGUAAUUUGGGGUUGUGGCCUUUCAGAACCAGGCAAAUUAUCACUGUAAUGGGGUCAGCAGAGGGCCAAAUUGCUUUUCCUGAAUUAGCAUGUGAAAGGAAUGUGGGCAAAUUAACUGUGUAUGACUGAACUCUAUUUUAUUUGCUACUGGGCGACAUACUGCUAGAGCCAGAUUCAUCUCCAAAACUGGAACUCUUGGGGGGAUCCUGUACAGGUUCGUUUCACUUUCUGGUCUUUAGUCUGCACAAUAAUAAAACUCACAGGUAUUUAGUGAGUUUUUCACUACAUGCCAGGUUUUAGUGCUUUUCAGCUAUUAUUUUGUUCUCAAAAUAAGCCUAUGAGAUAACUGAUUCAUCAAGAUGCACCACAGAACCAAAGGAAGCAUUCCACGUAUUUUAAGCAAGGUGGAAUUUAGUACAGGGAAUUGGGUGUUUACAACAUUGUUAGACGGGCUGGAGGAGUAAGUUCUAGACCCAGCCUCCAGAAGUAAUUCCCAGAGAAAUACAGGACUGGCCCACCAAGAGAGCAACUACCUUCAAAGUCUCUGAAGCUUGUAAAUUCACAAAUGUGUCCCAGAACAGGAAACUGGCUUCAAGAAGCUGCUUCUACUGCUAUAGCCUUUGACACUGAGGAAACUGGAGAAGACACGGGGACUCUGCUGCAGAUGAAAUCCCACAUCUCCAGGAUCUUUGCAUGCCAGUGAAAAAAGGCCAAAACUAGGUGGGCUGAAGAGCGAAGGUUAAGCCUGGAGCCCUGAUGGACCAUGAGGCCUGGUGCAAUCACUGCCUUUACCCUAGGCUGGUGUUGCUUUACUAUGAACCCAGUACCUGCAAGGUCAGGCUCUUACUUAAAACAAUGCACAACAUGCUCUGUGUUCACUCUGGAUUUUUUUUUAUUGGGUGUAAGGGAAUAGUUGAAGCUAGAUAGAGAGCUGCCUUAUGUAAAAAGACAAUUGUCUUGCUAUGUAUGAGUUUCUGUUUUAUCAUAAUAUUACAAAACUCCCAAGGGAAUUGUGACAUAAGUAUUUGAAAUAAUGCAUCCAAAGUUCCUGUCUGUCAUAUAUAUUCAUAGCUUGGCAAAGUCCCAGAGGGUGAAAUCUCUAUAUCAAGACCAGUGUGUUUGUCACUUGUGAAAGGUGAGUGUGGGAAACUAUUAGUAUAAUGGUAUGAAAUAGGUAUGAAAAUACUAUUUGGAAUUUCAAUUUUGAUUCCAGGUGCCAGAGAAACUUUGAAAUUGUUAAACAUUGUGUAAUUGGUAAAACUUAACUUCUAGAUUCACCAGCCAUAUUCAUGCAACUCUCUAAAAACCAGGAGAUAGGCCCCAAAGAAAAUGAAGUAGACUUUAGUAACGUAUUGAAAGUGAUUUCUUAUCAGAAAAGAAAUAUUUUGUUUUCACUUUAUUACAUUAGCUGGGAAUAAUUAAUUUUUUUCUGACUUCAAAUUAGUUAAUAAAAUAGACUAGUAAAAAGAGAUGUUGAGGUCUGUCAGAAUACAUUUGUGGAACAAUGGUAAAACAUUUGUAAAGUCAUAGUAAUAUAGAUAUACAUUCAAAAUCACACAGCAUUUAUUGAUCUUUUCCUGGGAAUGUACUGGAUGCUGAGAAAAAAACAUAUAAGGGAACUAGAAGAUAUGACCCAUUUGUGUCAACAUUGUUUUUACAGUUAAAAAAAUUAUUUGAUUUAAAUAUGGUUUCCCUGAUAUACUUAAUCAUACAUAUUUGUGUGUAGUGUAGGCAGUUAAUAUGAAACGGAACUGGUUAUAUGUAGACUGUCAAACUAUUUGAAUAAUGCUCUCAAAUGAUAUUUUUUAGCCUGAGUUAACCAAUCUGUUAACUAUUUGAUCAAAUAUUUCGUUCAUACAGAUUUACUGUGGGCCUACCAUGUGGUAGGUUGUACUAGAAGAUACAGAGAAAUGUGAAUUCCUCCUGUUGGAAGACCUUAUACUCCAACAAGGAGAAAAUGGGCCAAGAAUUCUUCCAUGGUGGAGAUAGGCUUCGUGGACACUCCCUCCUUAGAGAGCAAGAAAAGCACAUCCCAGCCUGUGUCUGUGAGUCACCGGAGAGAAAUGGGCAUCAGUUCUUCUCUUGUGUGAGGCUGAUAAUAGUAUUGGAUUAUAAAAGUUUGAAGACCAUUGCUCUUCUUGGCCUCUCAAUGAUGGAGCCCCCCAGGGCUUAGAGUUUGGCAUUUUUCUCUUUUUGUGUUCAUACUCCCCAAGGUGAUCUCAUUUCAUCCUGCUGUUGAUGACUCCAAAAUUUAUACAUUUAGCCAGGACCUCUGCAUUCAACCCCAGAUAUCCAGAUAUUCGCUUCAUAUCUUCACCUGGAUGUCUAACAGACUCAAAUUUAACCUAGUGGACCCCUGACUGCCACAACCCCACACCCUCCACAAACUGCACCUUGUCCAUGCCAUGCGAGUUAUACAAUCAAAAACUUGUACAGAAUAUCUAUAUGAUUCCAAAGCCAGAGAAUACAACACAAGCCCGAACUGAAAAGAUGGAUGCCAUGCAGCUUACAUUCUCAGAGGUGGAGGAAAAGUCAACUAAAAUUUACUUCUGAAGUCAAUAUAUAUAUAUAUAUAUCUUGUGUUUAUAUUUACUUACAUUUAUCUAGAUUAAGUGCUAUGGAGAAAAAUAUAGCUAAGUAAAAGGUAUGGAUAGUCCUAUAUGUCUGUGUUUCCUGUUAUCUCUUCUUUCUAGCUCCCCAAAUUUCGUCAUUAGAGUCUCCUAUUUUGCUCUUUUUCUUUGUGAGUUUAUGGGCUUAACACACUUUUAUUAGCUGCCAUUCAGGAGACUUUGAGGGGAGCGCUGAGGGAAACGCAGGUGUUCAAUCCUCCAUCUUCACCUAGAAGUUGAAGAGUGUCAAGGGAAUGUCUUUAUGAGAAAAUGAUAUUUAAGAGGAAACCUGAAAGAAGUGAAGUAAGCCAUGUCGAUAUCUAAAAGAAGAG